rnacentral:rRNA from 1 species
AGAGUUUGAUCCUGGCUCAGAGCGAACGCUGGCGGCAGGCCUAAUACAUGCAAGUCGAGCGCCCUUUCGGGGGAGCGGCGGACGGGUGAGUAACGCGUGGGAACGUGCCCUUUGGUACGGAACAACUGAGGGAAACUUCAGCUAAUACCGUAUGUGCCCUUCGGGGGAAAGAUUUAUCGCCAUUGGAGCGGCCCGCGUUGGAUUAGGUAGUUGGUGAGGUAAAGGCUCACCAAGCCUACGAUCCAUAGCUGGUCUGAGAGGAUGAUCAGCCACACUGGGACUGAGACACGGCCCAGACUCCUACGGGAGGCAGCAGUAGGGAAUCUUGCGCAAUGGGCGAAAGCCUGACGCAGCCAUGCCGCGUGAAUGAUGAAGGUCUUAGGAUUGUAAAAUUCUUCACCGGGGACGAUAA